GCUCAACCGGGGAGGGUCAUUGGAAACUGGGGAACUUGAGUGCAGAAGAGGAGAGUGGAAUUCCACGUGUAGCGGUGAAAUGCGUAGAGAUGUGGAGGAACACCAGUGGCGAAGGCGACUCUCUGGUCUGUAACUGACGCUGAGGAGCGAAAGCGUGGGGAGCGAACAGGAUUAGAUACCCUGGUAGUCCACGCCGUAAACGAUGAGUGCUAAGUGUUAGGGGGUUUCCCCCCUUAGUGCUGCAGCUAACGCAUUAAGCACUCCGCCUGGGGAGUACGGUCGCAAGACUGAAACUCAAAGGAAUUGACGGGGGCCCGCACAAGCGGUGGAGCAUGUGGUUUAAUUCGAAGCAACGCGAAGAACCUUACCAGGUCUUGACAUCCUCUGACAAUCCUAGAGAUAGGACGUCCCCUUCGGGGGCAGAGUGACAGGUGGUGCAUGGUUGUCGUCAGCUCGUGUCGUGAGAUGUUGGGUUAAGUCCCGCAACGAGCGCAACCCUUGAUCUUAGUUGCCAGCAUUCAGUUGGGCACUCUAAGGUGACUGCCGGUGACAAACGGGAGGAAGGUGGGGAUGACGUCAAAUCAUCAUGCCCCUUAUGACCUGGGCUACACACGUGCUACAAUGGGCAGAACAAAG
rnacentral:rRNA from 1 species